CGACCGUUUGGGAUUGUGGGGUGGAGUUGGCCUAAGCCGUGUUUCGGGCGGGGCGUCGCCUUCGUCGCCGGCGCGGCACCGGCGGACUCUCUCCGUCUCCUCUCUUGCCCCCACUCGCGGCUCCUCUUCCUCGAACGUGCUCCUGCGGCCACUGGCCAUGGGGUGCAAGGGCGCAUCGGGCUGGGCCUCCUCUGCUUCCGCAGCCGCGGGUCUCCAUGGACGAGGACGACGACCGGGAUCCCAAAUCCCAACGAGGACACCGUCGACCUUGACCUAGUCUACUCCCCACACAACACAAGUUUGGACAGUGUAAACUGCUGCAGCUGCUGAUCAGGAAUGAACAGGCCGGCACUUUGGUGGUUCAGUGGAUAUCCAUCCAUUUCUCCAUGGCUGACUGAAACUAGCUACAUCCAAUGCUCUACUCUUCCAACUUGUUUUGGUCAAUUUCAAGGACCACAUUUGUAAAUUGGCUUGAUUCAGUCAGUUAUGAUGAGUAACCAAUCGACUUAUACAGUGCAACAGAUCGUAGUUAUAAUUGUACAGUCCAAUUAUGUCCUAACUCUAGCACUAGCAAACGCUUUGCUUCCAUCUGGUGAAGACGACGACCUCGCUCGACAGCGAGCUCGAGUCUACCAUGAUUCCCCACACAAGGAGGUCUCUCCCUCUCACUCUCACUCUCACUCUGUUUAUUUUUGACAAGUAGGAUUUGGUACACAACACUUCAGUUACAUCCAUGUUGUUGCACCUACUUCCUUCACAUUAUGUGGCAAUUAAAAUGGAACCAUGUUCCCCUGUUA